rnacentral:lncRNA from 1 species
AUAUAUAUAACCAAUAGGAAGAAGCCAAGUGUGUAGGAUGUACAAGAUACAUACAAUCUAUUGAGGAGUUAGAGGAACUCCCACCAACAUUUAUUUAUGUGCAUCUAUUUAAAGACCACCUCCACCCUCUUUCUUUUCUCCACUCCCCACAACAAAGCUCUUCCAACCAACCAAUCUCUUAAUUCGUUCAUUAAGUUACUCAAAACACCACCUAGCUUCUUCCUCUCUCCCUCAAGCAAUCUCUCUCUCUCUCUCUCUCUCUCUCUCUCUCUCUCUCUCUCUCUCUCAAACCCUGUUUAUUAUAAGCAACUUGAAGAAAGAGAGGAAAAAAAGGGGGCAUUUAAUCAUGCCAUCAAAAUAUGCUUCUCUCUUUGUGGUAGCUCUCCUCAUGAUCUUCUUCUCUCUCAACCAGCAACAAGCAAUAGGGAGGCCAGAGCCAGCUGAUCCAAGCAACACCAAUGGCCAAAAAGAGGUCAAUACAUACUCUAUUCAUUUCUCCAUUCCCCUUUACAUCUCAAAUUUGCAGAUAUAACUACUGCCACACAAAAAAUCGAUCGAUCAGCUAAAAAACGGUCUAAGAAUAAUCUUAACACUUUUGCUGCCACGUGCAUGGUGGGCAUGUAUCAAGCGAACCAUACCACAUGCACUGACACCAUAUCGACUGUAAUAUGUUAAAAGUUGAUGUAGUAUGAAAUGGUUCAGAAAUAGUCUUAAGAACUACUUUUUUUUUUUCUUUUUCUUUUUGUUUUUCUUAUGUUUUUUGAUGGGUUGGUCUUUGUUUUAAUCUUUCUAGGUAGCUGAUCAAGAAGAGGUGAGGUAUGAGAAAAUGGAAGAAGUGUGUGGAGGAGAGAAAGAGGAGGAGUGCUUGAUGAGGAGGACACUGGAGGCUCAAAUUGACUACAUCUACACUCAAGGGAAACACAAUUAACUAGCUAGAAGAAGAGCUACAAAGAGAUAUAUAUAUAUAUAUAUAUAUAAAUAUAUAUAUAUAUAUA